rnacentral:lncRNA from 1 species
GUCCCCUUUGCAGGGCUUCUCUACUCUGUUCUAAAUGAGAUUUCCGUCUAUUAAUUUUCAUGGAUACAAUACUAGAGCUUUUAAUUUAUAUACUUGAAUUAUAAGUUAAAUAGUAAUCAGAUCAAAGAAAAGUAAUAUUAAUAAUAAAGGCUCUGAAUCAUUCUGGCUUCCACGGUAAAUCUUCUAAAUCUAAUGGGAUUAGAUUAAAUUUUUAAACAUGAUUCACUACAGAAGCAAAACUCUGAUAAUUAUGUCUUUAUAACCACCAGUUCAGUUCUAUAUUCUCAGCACUCAGUGUGUCACUAGAGUAGAUAUCUAAUCAGCCCUUCUCCAAAUCUAAAUUUCAAUUUUAAACACAUGAACUAGAAGAAGGAAAAAAAAAACUCCAAGACCUAAAAGAACAAGGUUUAAACAGUUGACUGUUCUGGAGCAAAAUAACUGACCAGUUUUUGGUUUUAUUUUAUUUUAUUUUUUAUUUUUUGUUUUUUAUCAAGAGCGGAAGGGAGACCCUAUGUUGACAAAAGAAGCUACAGAUUUCUGUGGAUACUGAAAUCCUAUAAAAUUGGUAUCUUUCCUUUUCAACUUUUAAAAGUCUUUUUCAGAUAACUCAAGCAUCUGCUUUAUGACAGGACUUCAAUCAGCAUGGAGUUAAGUAUGACUAUCCUCUAUUUCUUUUUAUAGAACGGAUUAAUUGUGUUUUACAUCUUCUAAGUGACAAUUAUUCUGAUGGAUUCCUCUCACAAUUUCUGUCCUCUGCAGGCUCGGCUGGGUGACAACUGAUGUUCUUUCAACAGCAUAAAAAUCUGACCUAUAAGAACCUGACCUGAACUGGCUUAUGAGCAAGAAAUGAAAUUUCAUUUUAUGUGAAUCAUUGUGUAUUUUUACUCUCUUUGUUUUAUUACAAUAGCCUACUCUACUUAAUUUGUUCUUAUAAAUUGGGUUAGCACAGUGUUUUAACCUAGAAAAUAGCAUUGCUCAUUCAAAUAUGAAAGUUAGCCACUUACAGUAUUUAUGAUUUUGGAAUUAAAUUUUAACAGCUAAAAGCUCAUAUUUUAUAGAUCGAUCUUAAUAAUUCCCUAAUAUAAAAUUAUACUCAUAAUCACUACAUUAAUAUGCAAGCAGAAUU